GCCUAAUAUGAGUCUCUAGCAAGACUCAAUUAAUGAAAGACAUUUUUUAAACCAUAGGGAAGUGAGGGGGAGGGUGGAGAACCCAAGGGAAAGGCGGCUAAUGUAAGGGAAACUACUUCUCCUAAAAGACAUUUCAUAUAAAACAAACCAAAACCAAAACCAAAAAAAACAAAAAACAAAAAAAGGAAAGAAAAAAAGCAAGGACUGCCAAGACUGCCUCUUUCUUAUUCUUCCAAAAGCUCCAGCUCCUGAACUGUGGAUUCUAACCAAGGUGGGUGGAGCACAGCUUGCACUGCAAGGGAAUGAAGCCAAUGCGAAGGCCCAGAGGGAAGGGAAGCGUUGUCAGAGUCUGGUGGAGAAGACACAAGAAUUUGGAGACAGCAGAGGAUACAGAGAGUCAGCCAAAUAAACUGGUUGGAUCACCUGUUCCAGUGCUUCCUACCACCAUACAGAACCUUCAUAAAUACCACUCAAAGAAGGCUCACUAUCAAUACUGUUGGUCCGUUUUCUCUGGAGGAGAAUGUGUCUCUGCUGGCUAAGGCUUUCUUUAUCUCGUCCCACUCUACUACAGCCUGCAGACCCACCCAAGACUGAGGGUGCUCAAAGCUCAGAAGGCAAAGGACUCCUUGCCACUCAACAGUAUCAGCUCAACACCUCAGCCAAGAAGAAUCAGGGAGCACAGGCACACACUCACCAUGCUGAACAGACAGCGAGGACCACAUUUUUAUUAUCUGAUUCCUAUUUGACCAUCUGAUGUGCAAAUUUUACCUAUCAUGUUGCCUUUGCUCCAGAUCUAGGUGAGAUCAGAUGGAAUGGAGGCUCCAUCUGGUCUUCAGGAAGUCUCAAGUUUUCACUGAUCUACAUAAAAUCUCAGAGCAAGGCAAUUUGGAUUGAGUGAGUCCAAACCCAGUGCCUUCUCCUUUGACCCUGGCACAGAUACACUGGCCAAGAGAUGGGUCCAAAGUCAUCCCACUCCAUCAAAGCCAUCACUGUCAGGAGUGAUAACAUAGCCCACAUUUUUCAUAUGUUUUCAAGAUCUCAAAAUUUCUACUGAAUAUUACAGGAGGGCAGGUGCCUUUAUCCGCCAGUACAUCAUCUUCAAUAUCAGUGAUUUUCAAUUUCCUGCUUCCAUUCAAUUGAAUACUUUGUUGGAAAAAAUUACAUGUGAAGUCCACUAUAGAAAAUAAAUUUGUAACAACUGGGGUUGGA